rnacentral:rRNA from 1 species
AGUGAACGCUGGCGGUAGGCCUAACACAUGCAAGUCGAACGGCAGCACAGUAAGAGCUUGCUCUUACGGGUGGCGAGUGGCGGACGGGUGAGGAAUACAUCGGAAUCUACUUUUUCGUGGGGGAUAACGUAGGGAAACUUACGCUAAUACCGCAUACGACCUACGGGUGAAAGCAGGGGAUCUUCGGACCUUUCGCGAUUGAAUGAGCCGAUGUCGGAUUAGCUAGUUGGCGGGGUAAAGGCCCACCAAGGCGACGAUCCGUAGCUGGUCUGUGAGGAUGAUCAGCCACACUGGAACUGAGACACGGUCCAGACUCCUACGGGAGGCAGCAGUGGAGAAUAUUGGACAAAAGGCGCAUGCCUGAUCCAGCCAUACCGCGUGGGUGAAGAAGGCCUUCGGGUUGUAAAGCCCUUUUGUUGGGAAAGAAAAGCAGCAGGUUAAUACCCCGCUGUUCUGACGGUACCCAAAGAAUAAGCACCGGCUAACUUCGUG